rnacentral:rRNA from 1 species
UACGGGGGGGGCAAGCGUUGUUCGGAAUUACUGGGCGUAAAGGGUUUGUAGGUGGCCGGCUAAGUCAGACGUGAAAUCCCUCAGCUUAACUGGGGAACUGCGUCUGAAACUGAUCGGCUCGAGUGCAGGAGAGGAACGCGGAAUUCCAGGUGUAGCGGUGAAAUGCGUAGAUAUCGGAAGGAACAUCAGUGGCGAAAGCGACUGCCUGGACCAAUACUGACGCUCAUGUGCGAAAGCGUGGGGAGCAAACAGG